AGCGAACGCUGGCGGCAGGCCUAACACAUGCAAGUCGAACGAAGUCUUCGGACUUAGUGGCGGACGGGUGAGUAACACGUGGGAACGUGCCCUUUGGUACGGAAUAACUCAGGGAAACUUGAGCUAAUACCGUAUGUGCCCUUCGGGGGAAAGAUUUAUCGCCAUUGGAGCGGCCCGCGUCUGAUUAGCUAGUUGGUGAGGUAAAGGCUCACCAAGGCGACGAUCAGUAGCUGGUCUGAGAGGAUGAUCAGCCACAUUGGGACUGAGACACGGCCCAAACUCCUACGGGAGGCAGCAGUGGGGAAUCUUGCGCAAUGGGCGAAAGCCUGACGCAGCCAUGCCGCGUGAAUGAUGAAGGUCUUAGGAUUGUAAAAUUCUUUCACCGGGGGCGAUAAUGACGGUACCCGGAGAAGAAGCCCCGGCUAACUCCGUGCCAGCCGCCGCUGUAACAC
rnacentral:rRNA from 1 species